GGCUAUGGGCACAACAAUUGAAAAACAAUAGAUUUUUACGUUAACAUUGCUUUCUAUUGUGAAUGUAUUAUACAGUAUAUUUUAAAAUUUGAUUCUUUAUAAUGAUUACAAAUGGUUCACAUUAGAUUUCAUUGUUACAUAGACAAAUAAUAGAUUAACAUUUGAAUUCAUUGUUACUUUUGGAUUCAGCGAUCAAACCAUUGGUUUACAAUAGAAUGUAUCAGCUACAUUGAAAUGUACCGUUUUUCAAUGGUCUGAACGUUUAAAAAAACCCUGCUUUUAAGUAAUUUCGAAACAGUCCAAGUUUUUUUGUUAUCAGUUUGGUCGUCGGCGGUAAAAUUUUUCGAAGUGCAGGUUCGUCUGCGGAAAAUGUGGAAAAUUCACGCUCAACUGCGUGAAUUUUCCGCACGGGAGUGAUUAUAGUGUGCGGUGCAGUGUAAAAGCAUACAACAGUAGCAGCAUUUCAACAGAAGUCGCAAGGACAUGAAGCCUGUGUAGGAGCAGUUAGCUCACAGCUUGUUCGAUCGCAUUGCGGUCGAAGGAAUGCGCACGAUUAGGACUGAUCGCUGCAUGGACGAGAACUAGGAGCGCUGAGAAGAGAACGGGGAUGCGGAAUGCUGGAUCAAGGAACUUUGUGGUUUUAUUUUGAAAGCACCGAUCGGUUCAGUAGUUUCCGAGUCUAUUAGGGUCAGACAAACAGACAAACAUUAGUAACUCAUUUUUAUAUAUAAAGAUAGAUAGAUGGAUACCAGGAUAGAUAGAUAUUUCAAUUUUACCAUUCUAAUUUGACUGCAUUUUUUCCUUUACAUCAAACUCGUUCAGUGAAACAUGUUAUUUUUGUGUUAAUUUUUUUUUAAUAUUGGUUCGCUCUUCAAACCUGGAACGCAUGUAUAGUUAAUUAUCAAAUGUGACGAAAUUGCAGGCAAUCAUUCGUAAAUAACAAACGUCUCACAAAUGUACCAUUUGAACGCUUCUUUGAAUUUGAACGAUCUUCUAAUAUAGGUUCAAGCUGUAGUAUAUCGAGUAUUUUUAAGUGCUACAAAAAAGGUUAAGCACGCUGUAAUGUUACUUUUGUACCUCAUCACCCAAUAAAUGCAACUACAUUAGUGGACUAAUAACACUUAGCGCGCUUAGGCACGGUUCCAUCAUGCCGCUUAUAGUGUUGCCACAUAUAGGGUAAUUCAUGUAUUUUGGAUAGGCUGAGGACAACGUUGGAAAAAUCGUACCCUAGCUUCCUUAGAAAGCAGUUGAUUAUUUUGUAAAGUUACUAAUACGCAUAUAAUAUGAUUGUACUUUGCGUUCCUGGUGACAAAAACCUUUUUUUUUUAUUCCUGUUCGGGUUUGUCACUGCGACCAGUUUUUAGAUCUAUUGUGACAUUACCCGUAUCCUUAGUGUAGUGCAUGUCGCAUUACUCAAUUGCCAUUGAGGGGCAAUAAAGUAUCGAUUUUGAUACAGUUUUUGUUUUGUUUUCUUAGAAAACAAAACAAGAGUACUGAUAUUGGCCAUGCAUCGGAAACCUAGCAUCACCCUUGUUUUACUGCUAAAUUCUCCCAGGUUCAGGACCCGGGUUUUAACAUUAGCAGCAAUAUCAUUUCAAUAAUGGGACAUGUGUUCAGUAAUAAGGAUUCUAGUAUGUUCCUUGCGUACUAGCACUUUCCAGUCUUCGAAGAGUUAGUACAUACAUGGAUCCCUAAUCCAAUUUGAUUUCCUUUGCAUUGAGUUUAGCCUCAGAUGGUGAGGUUUUUAACUAUAUGCAAAGUAAAGUUGGUAAACUUAGUUUUAUUCAAAGACUGGAAGUCAUCACAACACCAGUAGCAAGGACUAAAUACUAUAAUGCCUAUAAUUAUCAGAACACAUAUUCCAAAAUUGAAAAAUAGGACGACACUAGAUUUCGGUUUGGUAGAUCUAAAACCGCAACGCAACCCAAAAAGGCGAUCUACCCACGCUACGGGCUCCGUUAAAGAUCGAGCAUGUUUUAAACCCCCUCAACCAUUCAUCCCUCAGCACGGGUCGCCUGACACCUUGGAUUGGGGUUACCUGUUUGGUGGACUUUUACCCCCGGAACAGGUGGUCCGUAGUGCUAUUCUAAGCCGGCAGCUACACGGACAGACAAAAACCUUAACGAAAGCAUUUUAAGCUGAGAAAAUCACAAUUUCCAAUUGCUUGUUAGAAUUGCAUUUUGGACACCGAAUAUAUGUUUUGGACACCCUCAGGUAUAUAUAAUUUGGACAGGGCAAUUAUCUCAAUGUUAAGCCAUGAACACUGUUAAACCAUGGAAGUAGCCUAAAUUAACAAAUAUUUUCUUGCAAAUAAUUAUAUUUCCCCGCUUACCAGGCAUCCAUUUUGAUAAUUAUUACAGUUUUUGUUAAAAUCGAGGAAAUAUCGCCAGACCCACAGAAUACGCCUCCAAGUAUGCAACCGCACAGCAUCCCCAUGUAGUUCGUCAGAUGACCAAAAUAUAUUUAUAGUAGAAAACUUGUAAUGUAUUUUGGACACCACCUAUUUUAAGCGUUCUAGAUGAAUGUUAAGAGAUUGGCUGCCUAAUGUUUCUUCAUUGAACAUUUUUCAAUGCAAUAAGGCUUUUGAAAUUCUUACAGUUAUUAAUUCAACGAUUUUGAGGUGAAUAUUGUAUGUGACUGUGAAGUGUAUGUCGUCUUGCAUACCUGUGCAUUUGAGGGGUUUUAGUGAAACAAUUUACAUUUUCGAUAAUUUUGAAGUAAAUUCUUAAUUGUUAAGCGUAUUUUCAACGUAAGUCAUCAGAAUAGGGCCUGUUUGAUCCAACAAUCGAUAUUGAGAAGUAUCUACUUUUAUAAGCUCUCCGGAACAAGACAUACAUCCAAAUUAUAUACAUGUCCAAAUUAUAUUUUUUACCCUAAUGCUUAGUCUGCUAAACCCAGUUAUCUGGCUGUGGGGCAUGCUUCAAAGCUUCAACCAUCAUUGCAAUUAAACAUUACUCGAUUUACUACAUGAGUGAUCCAAAUAUUUGAUAAUUGUUCGAUCUGUUUUUGAAAUGUAGCUUAAAUUAUACAAGCUACUAGUCUAAAUACAUAAUAAUAGUUCAGUUUCGCUUCAUUCCGGAUUUGCUCAAGCAGUUUAUAUUUUUUGUAAAGUUAAACUUAGAGGUUGAAGUUAGAAUUGUCUGAUUCACAAUAGAAAACAAUUUCCAAACCAUUCGAUUUAAUGUAAAAAUAGUGCAAAACAAUAUGUUCUGCAUCACAAUAGACAACAAUUCCAAAACAAUUGAAUCUAACGUGGAGCCAGUAAUAAAGUCACUGCUCAAAGCAACACGUUUACUGUACAUUUCACUAUUUAGAACAAUUUAAAAACAUAAGAAUCUUCUGUAUCACAAUAGAAAACAAUUUCCAUACCAUUGAAUCAAUUGUGGAACCAGUAGUAAAAUCACUAGUCAGAACAAUGCGUUUACCGUUCGUUUCACUGUUUGAAACAAUUCGAAAACAUAAGAAUCUUCUGUAUCACAAUAAGAAACAAUACCCAAACAAUUGAAUUCAAUGUAAAAACAGUACAAACUGUAUGUUCUGCUUCACAAUAGAAAACAAUUUCAAAACAAUUGAAUCAAAUGUGGAACCAGAAAUAAAAUCACUACCCAAAACAAUA